rnacentral:rRNA from 1 species
AGAGUUUGAUCAUGGCUCAGAUUGAACGCUGGCGGCAGGCCUAACACAUGCAAGUCGAACGGUAACAGGAAGCAGCUUGCUGCUUCGCUGACGAGUGGCGGACGGGUGAGUAAUGUCUGGGAAGCUGCCUGAUGGAGGGGGAUAACUACUGGAAACGGUAGCUAAUACCGCAUAAUGUCGCAAGACCAAAGAGGGGGACCUUCGGGCCUCUUGCCAUCGGAUGUGCCCAGAUGGGAUUAGCUUGUUGGUGGGGUAACGGCUCACCAAGGCGACGAUCCCUAGCUGGUCUGAGAGGAUGACCAGCCACACUGGAACUGAGACACGGUCCAGACUCCUACGGGAGGCAGCAGUGGGGAAUAUUGCACAAUGGGCGCAAGCCUGAUGCAGCCAUGCCGCGUGUAUGAAGAAGGCCUUCGGGUUGUAAAGUACUUUCAGCGGGGAGGAAGGGAGUAAAGUUAAUACCUUUGCUCAUUGACGUUACCCGCAGAAGAAGCACCGGCUAACUCCGUGCCAGCAGCCGCGGUAAUACGGAGGGUGCAAGCGUUAAUCGGAAUUACUGGGCGUAAAGCGCACGCAGGCGGUUUGUUAAGUCAGAUGUGAAAUCCCCGGGCUCAACCUGGGAACUGCAUCUGAUACUGGCAAGCUUGAGUCUCGUAGAGGGGGGUAGAAUUCCAGGUGUAGCGGUGAAAUGCGUAGAGAUCUGGAGGAAUACCGGUGGCGAAGGCGGCCCCCUGGACGAAGACUGACGCUCAGGUGCGAAAGCGUGGGGAGCAAACAGGAUUAGAUACCCUGGUAGUCCACGCCGUAAACGAUGUCGACUUGGAGGUUGUGCCCUUGAGGCGUGGCUUCCGGAGCUAACGCGUUAAGUCGACCGCCUGGGGAGUACGGCCGCAAGGUUAAAACUCAAAUGAAUUGACGGGGGCCCGCACAAGCGGUGGAGCAUGUGGUUUAAUUCGAUGCAACGCGAAGAACCUUACCUGGUCUUGACAUCCACGGAAGUUUUCAGAGAUGAGAAUGUGCCUUCGGGAACCGUGAGACAGGUGCUGCAUGGCUGUCGUCAGCUCGUGUUGUGAAAUGUUGGGUUAAGUCCCGCAACGAGCGCAACCCUUAUCCUUUGUUGCCAGCGGUCCGGCCGGGAACUCAAAGGAGACUGCCAGUGAUAAACUGGAGGAAGGUGGGGAUGACGUCAAGUCAUCAUGGCCCUUACGACCAGGGCUACACACGUGCUACAAUGGCGCAUACAAAGAGAAGCGACCUCGCGAGAGCAAGCGGACCUCAUAAAGUGCGUCGUAGUCCGGAUUGGAGUCUGCAACUCGACUCCAUGAAGUCGGAAUCGCUAGUAAUCGUGGAUCAGAAUGCCACGGUGAAUACGUUCCCGGGCCUUGUACACACCGCCCGUCACACCAUGGGAGUGGGUUGCAAAAGAAGUAGGUAGCUUAACCUUCGGGAGGGCGCUUACCACUUUGUGAUUCAUGACUGGGGUGAAGUCGAACAAGGUA